UAUGAGAAAAAUACAAAAAGAAGUCAUUAGUGCAAUAGUAGUUAGAAGUUUAUGAUGUUUUGGUACAUAAUUUGAAAACUUGAUAUUGUACCAUUUAACACACCGACACCCGUUCUUAGCUUUUUCUUGGUGAGAAUUGAACCACAUAUGAGAGUUAAUUCUUUCCUUGAGUGGCGAGUUGGCAUGCUUUUGAAGAUGAUAAGGGACUUUUAGGAUGCCUCGUCUAGAUGUGUGAGAGUGCGGGAUUGGUGGGUUGGACCUCAUACGUUACAUAUAUGAGCUUGGUAUUGUGAGGGGUGGGGGUUUGGUCCAUAUAAAGCUAUGUUUGAAGCCUUAAGCCAUUCGAUUGAAACCCAAAGCCUACUUCCCAUAUAAAUUAUACCCUAUUGAGAUGACCCGGUUUAGGAUAAUGUUGUGAUUGUGAUGUCUUUGUAUAUAUUGUUGAGUUUUAUGUGUUUUCAAAAAAAAAAAAAAAUAUGAGAAAAAUACAAAAAGAAGUCAUUAGUGCAAUAGUAGUUAGAAGUUUAUGAUGUUUUGGUACAUAAUUUGAAAACUUGAUAUUGUACCAUUUAACACACCGACACCCGUUCUUAGCUUUUUCUUGGUGAGAAUUGAACCACAUAUGAGAGUUAAUUCUUUCCUUGAGUGGCGGUGUGUGUAGUGUGUAAAUAGAACUUGUGUGUGAAUGCUUGUUAAAUCCUAGAGUUGGCAUGCUUUUGAAGAUGAUAAGGGACUUUUAGGAUGCCUCGUCUAGAUGUGUGAGAGUGCGGGAUUGGUGGGUUGGACCUCAUACAUUACAUAUAUGAGCUUGGUAUUGUGAGGGGUGGGGGUUUGGUCCAUAUAAAGCUAUGUUUGAAGCCUUAAGCCAUUCGAUUGAAACCCAAAGCCUACUUCCCAUAUAAAUUAUACCCUAUUGAGAUGACCCGGUUUAGGAUAAUGUUGUGAUUGUGAUGUCUUUGUAUAUAUUGUUGAGUUUUAUGUGUUUUC
rnacentral:lncRNA from 1 species